rnacentral:ncRNA from 1 species
UUUCACUCAUGAUAGCUUGAAUGUAAUGAAGCUGUUAUAUUCGGUAAAGCGAUUGACUGGAGGAAUUGUUGGACGAAACGUGUUCAAUCGAGUGUGACUGUUUGCUUGAAUGAAGCAUAGACAUUGAAUGUGUGCUCCAAUUGGGCCAUUUUUGGUAAGCGGAAAUGGCGCGCUGUGAGAUGAACUA